rnacentral:rRNA from 1 species
GACGAACGCUGGCGGCGUGCUUAACACAUGCAAGUCGAACGGAAAGGCCCCUUUUGGGGUACUCGAGUGGCGAACGGGUGAGUAACACGUGAGUAACCUGCCCUUUACUUCGGGAUAACUUCAGGAAACUGGGGCUAAUACCGGAUAGGAAUCCUUGCUGCAUGGUGGGGGUUGGAAAGCUUCGGCGGUUUUGGAUGGACUCGCGGCUUAUCAGCUUGUUGGUGGGGUAGUGGCUUACCAAGGCUUUGACGGGUAGCCGGCCUGAGAGGGCGACCGGCCACAUUGGGACUGAGAUACGGCCCAGACUCCUACGGGAGGCAGCAGUGGGGAAUAUUGCACAAUGGGCGGAAGCCUGAUGCAGCAACGCCGCGUGCGGGAUGACGGCCUUCGGGUUGUAAACCGCUUUCAGCAGGGGCGAAGCUUGUGGUGACGGUACCUGCAGAAGAAGCACCGGCUAACUACGUG